GGAAAAAAAGACCAAGGUGAUAUCAAUUGGAGGCUGAUUAUCUGAAGACCAGUCAUAUUUAUUAUUUACUAAACAGUUGUCACGGCAACAUGUAUCGACAGGUUCACAUUAUAAACCAUCGGAAGUCUCGUGGUUGUCACGGCAACAUGUAUCGACAGGUUCACAUUAUAAACCAUCGGAAGUCUCGUGGUUGUCACGGCAACAUGUAUCGACAGGUUCACAUUAUAAACCAUCAGAAGUCUCGUGGUUGUCACGGCAACAUGUAUUGACAGGUUCGCAUUAUAAACCAUCAGAAGUCUCGUGGUUGUCACGCCAACAUGUAUCGACAGGUUCACAUUAUAAACCAUCAGAAGUCUCGUGGUUGUCACGCCAACAUGUAUCGACAGGUUCACAUUAUAAACCAUCAGAAGUCUCGUGGUUGCCAUGCCAACAUGUAUUGACAGGUUCACAUUAAAACUUCCACACACGGAUCCAGGGUCCAUGGAAAAGUUGUCUUUUUUUGUCCUUUUUUUUCAUACAUCCACCCACCCAGUGGCCAAGUUGGAUGUUUUUUU
ensembl:lncRNA